UACGUAGGGGGCUAGCGUUGUCCGGAAUCAUUGGGCGUAAAGAGCGCGUAGGCGGCCAGAUAAGUCCGGUGUGAAAGUCAAAGGCUCAACCUUUGAAUGCCGCUGGAAACUGUCUGGCUAGAGUCCGGGAGGGGCGAGUGGAAUUCCUGGUGUAGCGGUGAAAUGCGCAGAUAUCAGGAGGAACACCAAUGGCGAAGGCAGCUCGCUGGAACGGUACUGACGCUGAGGUGCGAAAGCGUGGGGAGCAAACAGG
rnacentral:rRNA from 1 species